GCAGAUGGGGUCAUAAACACUUCCUUCUCCUCCUAACAGCCACCAGGCAGCUUCGUCCUUAGCGGUAGCUUCCUGUCAGGUCAUAAAUACCUCUCACUCAAGCCUCACUCACAGCUGGGCCUUGCCAGGCACGUUUACUUCCUGUUAAGGGUUCACUGCGGCCAACAGACGUGGACCGGGAGGAGAAAGGAAGACGCUGCUGAUGGCAGGUUCAUCUGAGGAGGAAGCCGACCAUCUCUGAGAAAGUCUACUCAUCCUUAUCAUGAAUGCUAAAUAGAAGAGCACCAUGAUAUCAUUGUGUGAAGGACACGAGCCCUACUUGGGCACCUCAGUCUUCCUUACACGGCUCUCGGCAGUGCACUCCAAACUUCAUGUGGAGGAACUCCCCUGUUCUCCACGGAGCCCUUUCAGCUGACAGGGUGCAGGGCUGAUGUGCUCAUCACUACUGAGGAAGUCUGCUGUCGUGUAUGGGGCUUUCUUCCUUCUUGAAGCGGAGUAAGGAGCUGAUGCCUGGGGCCUCUGUGGCCGUCCAUACACUCUCUGAGAGCUCGCACGAGCCGACCUGCCAUAGAUGAAGAGCUGCUUUGAGGACACAGAAGAAUGAGAAAAGGGAUUCAAUGCUGGGAAACUGAAGAGGACAGUCACCUUCUGCCCCCUCCUUCCUGUGCCAUGUGCCAGCAAAAAGCCCUGUCAAUGUGGCACGCCGGUGCUUUAUUGUCCCGAUUCUUGGCCAUUUACCGGGGUGCUCUUAUCUAGUAAAUCAUCAGGGUUCCCAACAGGGCUGUCCCACAAUCACGCUUUUGAUGCUAACAUUUCAAAGAUCUUUGUUCACCUGAGUAACAACUGGAAAUCGCCUUCCACAAAUCCUGCUCUGUUCUUCUAUCUGUCAGAGGGGGGCAUAAGAUAUAAAGCCGUGUAUCAUCCUGGUACACAGA